CCCACCUAAACACAGGACUCACAGUCCCCUUGGGGCCACAGUACAGCAGUGAGGACAGUGCCUGGCCCACAGCAGCCACUGCCUGCCAUGAGCCCAACUGUCACUGUUAUUGCUGCUGGACAUCAGCAACUCCAUCCCAGACUCACACACGGCCAUCCGUGUAACAAGCAGAAGCAGGUUCAGAGCUAUUUCCAGCGCUGGGGAAGGAAGAGCCCCCGCACAACUGGAUGUCACUGGCCACAUGGUACCGAUGCCAUCCUACUCCUCCACCAUGAUGGGAGAUUCAAACCGCUCUGGAAAGCCUUGAGUGACGGUCAAACUCUCCACCUCAGAAGUGACAAGGAAACAAUUCCUGUUUCCCAGCCCUCUUGAGUGACUGAUGAAUGAAUCCAGCCCAAGACUUGACAGAGUAGCUAAAAAUGACCCACCCUCAGUCCCUUGUUCACUCAUCCACUCACAAACAUACUGUGAGUCCUCCUCUCUCCCAGGCCGGUGCUGAGUGUUGGGGACACAGAAUCCCUGGAAUAGGGAGGGCUCCACCUAACAAGAUCACAGCAAAGGUAGAAGGUGAGGGCUGCCACAUCCACGGAGGUGGCCACUGAGCUCACAGCCAUCUGAUCCUGAGCAGAGGCGGUGAUCCAUGGGACAGCGAGGGGUGAGCAUGCGAGGAGCAGAGGGAGGAACAACUGAAUCCGCUGAGACAGGAACAGUGUGAGGAAGGGCACAAGGCAUGCAGGAGGUGAACAGAGUUGUGCUGGCCUGGAGCACAGACUCAUAGAGGGCUGAGCACUGGGGCAGAAACUGCGAGUCUUUGGAAAAACGCAGGCCUGAAAAUUCUCUGCUGAAAAACUGGGAUCUUAUUCUCAGAGUCACCGAAGACCCUUAACCAGGGGAGUGGCACGAUUAGACUCUGCAGAUCUUACUCAUGCCAUUUCCUGGUUUAUUUUCACCUUCAUGGUCUUUGCCAUCCAAAGGCUUCCCCUGUCCCAGGAGAUCUGAGGACUAUGAUCAUUAAAAUAGUGCUAACCUUAGCUUGCAAUUAGAUUGCAGUUUCCUCAGUACUCGACUCCGCAGAGCUAGAAG
rnacentral:lncRNA from 1 species